rnacentral:lncRNA from 1 species
UCAGGAAUUGGAAACAUUUUAUUUACAAACUAUUUGGCACUGUUGGAUUUAUCACUAUCCAAUAUAAUUAUCUGGAUAUAAAUGAAGUACAAUUAUUUGUAAGAGUAUCAAUAAAACAUAAAUAUUUAAUGACAAAAUAGGAUUUAAUUACAUCUUAAUGUUGAUUCCAGUGUAAUUACAAUAUGUUUGAUACAUUUUAAUGUUGAUUCCAGGUGUAAUUACAAUAUGUUUGAUACAUUUUAAUGUGAUUCCAGUGAUUACAAUAUGUUGAUAAAUCUUAAUGUUGAUUCAAUAUGUUUAUACAUUUUAGGUGUAAUUACAAUAUGUUUGAUACAUCUUAAUGUUGAUUCCAGGUGUAAUUACAAUAUGUUUGAUACAUUUUAAUGUGGAUUCCAGGUGUAAUUACAAUAUGUUUGAUACAAUAUUUUUUAAUGUGGAUUCCAGGUGCAAUUACAAUAUGUUUGAUACAUUUUCAAUCUUUCUUAAUUUAUUUUGUUUACUAUUUUACUCUUUGGGUUUCACUGUAUAACCAUCAAUAUCAAGGUUUAACGAAAGAUCAAAACAGUUUCAACAGGGAUGUUACAGACACCAGAAAUCAUUAUAAGUUUUAUAGGCAAGGAAGCUUCUCAUUAAAAAGUAAAAUCACAAAAAUACUGAACUCCAAGGAAUUCGAAACAGAAAGUCAUUAAUCAAAUGGCAAAAUCAAAUGAUAAAAUUAAGUUAACUGGCCUUUAGGAAUAUUUUGAGAUAUCAUUCAACUGAAAGUAUUGAUCUACUUAAAUUUGAUCAGAAAGCCAUUUUGUUAAUUUCAUAUGCCAUACAAGAGGCUCUCAAGAGCCUGAAUCGCUCACCUUAAUUUUUUUGGUUAAAUCUCUCAUCAAUGAUU